AUUGAACGCUGGCGGCAGGCCUAACACAUGCAAGUCGAGCGGAUGAAGGGAGCUUACUCCUGGAUUCAUCGGCGGACGGGUGAGUAAUGCCUAGGAAUCUGCCUGGUAGUGGGGGAUAACGUCCGGAAACGGGCGCUAAUACCGCAUACGUCCUGAUGGAGAAAGUGGGGGAUCUUCGGACCUCACGCUAUCAGAUGAGCCUAGGUCGGAUUAGCUAGUUGGUGGGGUAAAGGCCUACCAAGGCGACGAUCCGUAACUGGUCUGAGAGGAUGAUCAGUCACACUGGAACUGAGACACGGUCCAGACUCCUACGGGAGGCAGCAGUGGGGAAUAUUGGACAAUGGGCGAAAGCCUGAUCCAGCCAUGCCGCGUGUGUGAAGAAGGUCUUCGGAUUGUAAAGCACUUUAAGUUGGGAGGAAGUGCAGUAAGUUAAUACCUUGCUGUUUUGACGUUACCAACAGAAUAAGCACCGGCUAACUUCGUG
rnacentral:rRNA from 1 species